rnacentral:rRNA from 1 species
UACGGGGGGGGCAAGCGUUGUUCGGAAUUACUGGGCGUAAAGGGCUCGUAGGCGGCCAACUAAGUCAUACGUGAAAUCCCUCGGCUUAACCGGGGAACUGCGUCUGAUACUGGAUGGCUUGAGUUCGGGAGAGGGAUGCGGAAUUCCAGGUGUAGCGGUGAAAUGCGUAGAUAUCUGGAGGAACACCGGUGGCGAAGGCGGCAUCCUGGACCGAUACUGACACUGAGGAGCGAAAGCCAGGGGAGCAAACGGG